AAAAUGCGAUAAGUAAUGUGAAUUGCAGAAUUCAGUGAAUCAUCGAAUCUUUGAACGCACAUUGCGCCCGCCAGUAUUCUGGCGGGCAUGCCUGUUCGAGCGUCAUUUCAACCCUCAAGCCCCCGGGUUUGGUGUUGGGGAUCGGGCUGCGGUUCUACCGCGUCCCGGCCCCGAAAUCUAGUGGCGGUCUCGCUGCAGCCUCCAUUGCGUAGUAGCUAACACCUCGCAACUGGAACGCGGCGCGGCCAAGCCGUUAAACCCCCAACUUCUGAAUGUUGACCUCGGAUCAGGUAGGAAUCCCCGCUGAACUUCAGC
rnacentral:misc_RNA from 1 species